UCUUGAUUGGUCUAGUGGUAAGGAUACCUGCUUGUCAUUUGUCAUUUCCAUCUAUCUACAUGACUCGAGUUACUCCGAGGCAGAGGAAACGAAAAAAAAAAACGCAGGUGGCCGGGGUUCGAUUCCCCGAUCGAGAG